rnacentral:rRNA from 1 species
CAGGGAUUGCCCUAGUAACGGCGAGUGAAGCGGCAAUAGCUCAAAUUUGAAAGCUGGCCUUCUGGUCCGCAUUGUAAUUUGUAGAGGAUGCUUUUAGGCAGCCGCCGGUCUAAGUUCCUUGGAACAGGACGUCAUAGAGGGUGAGAAUCCCGUAUGUGACCGGCUCUGGCACCUUAUGUAAAGCUCCUUCGACGAGUCGAGUUGUUUGGGAAUGCAGCUCUAAAUGGGAGGUAAAUUUCUUCUAAAGCUAAAUACUGGCGAGAGACCGAUAGCGCACAAGUAGAGUGAUCGAAAGAUGAAAAGCACUUUGGAAAGAGAGUUAAAAAGCACGUGAAAUUGUUGAAAGGGAAGCGCUUGCAAUCAGACUUGGACUUGGCUGUUCAACCGGUCUUCUGACCGGCCUACUCAGUCUUGUCCAGGCCAGCAUCAGUUUCGGCGGCCGGAUAAAGGCCCUGGGAAUGUAGCUGCCUCUUCGGGGACAGUGUUAUAGCCCAGGGUGUAAUACGGCCAGCUGGGACUGAGGUCCGCGCUCG